GGGCAUGUAACUCAGCGGUAAAGAGUACGCGCUUGAUAAGCGUGAAGUCGGGGGUUCGAGUCCC